rnacentral:rRNA from 1 species
AACGAACGCUGGCGGCGUGCCUAACACAUGCAAGUCGAGCGCGAAAGUUCCCUUCGGGGAGCGAGUAGAGCGGCGCACGGGUGAGUAACACGUAGGUAACCUACCCAGGGGUCUGGGACAACCCGCCGAAAGGUGGGCUAAUACCGGAUAAGACCACGAGGGCUGCGGCCCUCGGGGCAAAAGGUGGCCUCUGCAUGCAAGCUAUCACCCCCGGAUGGGCCUGCGCGCCAUUAGCUUGUUGGUGAGGUAAAGGCUCACCAAGGCGAAGAUGGCUAGCUGGUCUGAGAGGACGAUCAGCCACACUGGGACUGAGACACGGCCCAGACUCCUACGGGAGGCAGCAGUGAGGGAUAUUGCGCAAUGGGCGAAAGCCUGACGCAGCGACGCCGCGUGGGUGAUGAAGGCCUUCGGGUCGUAAAGCCCUGUCGGGAGGGACGAAACCUCGCCGGUCCAACAGGCCGGUGACUUGACGGUACCUCCGAAGGAAGCACCGGCUAACUCCGUG